rnacentral:snRNA from 2 species
AUACCUUUCUCGGUUUUUUGGCUAAGAUCAAGUGUAGCAUCUAUUAUUAUCAAUUAAUAUCUGAUAUGUAGGUCAAGUAGCACAAUGAUAUUAAAUUUAUUUUUUGCCACUAGAGUUCUCAAGUGUCUCCUAAGCAUUGCACUGCUGCUUAGGCCUGGCACACCCCAA